rnacentral:rRNA from 1 species
UACGGAGGGUGCAAGCGUUGUCCGGAAUCACUGGGCGUAAAGGGCGCGUAGGCGGCGCGACAAGUCAAUGGUGAAAGCCCGAGGCUCAACUUCGGGUCGGCCACUGAUACUGUUGGGCUUGAGCACUGUAGAGGCAGGUGGAAUUCCGGGUGUAGCGGUGGAAUGCGUAGAGAUCCGGAAGAACACCGGUGGCGAAGGCGGCCUGCUGGGCAGUAGCUGACGCUGAGGCGCGAAAGCGUGGGGAGCAAACAGG